AGAGUUUGAUCCUGGCUCAGGAUGAACGCUGGCGGCGUGCUUAACACAUGCAAGUCGAACGAUCCUUCGGGAUAGUGGCGGACGGGUGAGUAACGCGUGGGAAUCUGCCCUCAGGAGGGGGAUAACGGCUGGAAACGGCCGCUAAUACCCCAUAUGCCGAGAGGUGAAAUGAAUUUCGCCUGAGGAUGAGCCCGCGUCUGAUUAGCUAGUUGGUGGGGUAAAGGCCUACCAAGGCAACGAUCAGUAGCUGGUCUGAGAGGAUGAUCAGCCACACUGGGACUGAGACACGGCCCAGACUCCUACGGGAGGCAGCAGUGGGGAAUUUUCCGCAAUGGGCGAAAGCCUGACGGAGCAACGCCGCGUGAGGGAUGAAGGCCUCUGGGCUGUAAACCUCUUUUCUCAAGGAAGAAGACCUGACGGUACUUGAGGAAUAAGCCACGGCUAAUUCCGUGCCAGCAGCCGCGGUAAUACGGGAGUGGCAAGCGUUAUCCGGAAUUAUUGGGCGUAAAGCGUCCGCAGGCGGCCUUGUAAGUCUGUUGUUAAAGCGUGGAGCUCAACUCCAUUUAAGCAAUGGAAACUACAAGGCUGGAGUGUGGUAGGGGCAGAGGGAAUUCCCGGUGUAGCGGUGAAAUGCGUAGAUAUCGGGAAGAACACCAGUGGCGAAGGCGCUCUGCUGGGCCAUAACUGACGCUCAUGGACGAAAGCCAGGGGAGCGAAAGGGAUUAGAUACCCCUGUAGUCCUGGCCGUAAACGAUGAACACUAGGUGUCGGGGGAAUCGACCCCCUCGGUGUCGUAGCCAACGCGUUAAGUGUUCCGCCUGGGGAGUACGCACGCAAGUGUGAAACUCAAAGGAAUUGACGGGGGCCCGCACAAGCGGUGGAGUAUGUGGUUUAAUUCGAUGCAACGCGAAGAACCUUACCAGGGUUUGACAUCCUGCGAACCCCUGAGAAAUCGGGGGGUGCCUUCGGGAGCGCAGAGACAGGUGGUGCAUGGCUGUCGUCAGCUCGUGUCGUGAGAUGUUGGGUUAAGUCCCGCAACGAGCGCAACCCACGUCUUUAGUUGCCAGCAUUCAGUUGGGCACUCUAGAGAGACCGCCGGUGAUAAACCGGAGGAAGGUGUGGAUGACGUCAAGUCAUCAUGCCCCUUACAUCCUGGGCUACACACGUACUACAAUGCUACGGACAAAGGGCAGCAAGCUCGCGAGAGUUAGCAAAUCCCAUAAACCGUGGCUCAGUUCAGAUCGUAGGCUGCAACUCGCCUACGUGAAGGAGGAAUCGCUAGUAAUCGCAGGUCAGCAUACUGCGGUGAAUACGUUCCCGGGCCUUGUACACACCGC
rnacentral:rRNA from 1 species